CUCUGUUCUGGGCAUGCACUUCGCGCAUGCCCAGAACAGGCCAGGCACAAACGCACGCUUGGUGUCCGUCCACGGACGGACACCAAGCGUUUUAUUAGAGAGGAUUGAUUCAAAAUACCUGAUCAGCUCUAUGUCUGCUGUUCAAAGUACUAUUGCUCAGACAAUUCCUCCCCCCGCCUGCCACCAAAAGGGGGAUUUUGAUCACUGUGUCCUUUUUACAAGCUUGCAAUAUUAAGUGGGGGAGGGGGAGCAAUUUCAUGUAUUACAGGACAUUGAUAGAUGAAACUGACACUGUAUGUUAAACAAAAAGGUAUCCUGUCCUUUAAAAAGAUAAAAAUAAAAAUGCAGUACCAAAGUCCCUGAGCUCUGUAUAGAGCAUACAAAUUAUUUACAACAUUCAGUUAAUGUGGAUGAGGGACAAGAAACCUAAAGGUAAAGCCACUGCAUGUCUAUCAGUUAUCCCACUCUGACUUCAGAAGUAGCAACAGGUGUUUAUUAUAGAAUUCUGAGCCUAUUUACACAGCUAUAGAUGCUGGAAACUUCCUAUACAGUAUAUAAAAACAAGGAGUCUUGAGUAUUUCAGAAUGCCCAAUUGCUUGCACUUCAGGCAUUGUAUGGUAUUACAGAACACAUCUUGCAAAGCUAAAUCUGAGUUUUGUAUUAUAGCAAAUGCACAGAUAUUCAAUUUAUAGCUUGCUCUGCCAAAGUUUGGGAAGCAUUUAAAAUGAAGAGAUUAAGUUGUAUAUGUAGCUGGUUAUUUUGAGUGGCAAAGGGAAGUCUUGCAGCAUGUGAGGGAUGGGGCAAGAAUGACCAUGAACGAUCCUCAACAUGGCAUUUAUAUCCAUGCUUUAUGUUCUGGUGCAGUACAGGGGAAAGUGAAGCUUAGUGGGAUAAGUCACUGUCAGCAUCCUGAAUUUUUCAACUGCUUGUAACUAUGGGAAGUGCCUUUAGGAAGCUGUGGCUGUAAUGUUGAAGGAAUCAGUCUCCAUGUUCUAGUUCCUCAUGUGAGCAAUGCCUCUGCAUACAGAGUGUGUUCCAUGAAGCAUGUUGAACUGAUGCUAUGUUAUGUACCAGAAGAGCAGCUUUCUCCUAAAAGCAAACCAGCCAAGCAGGUUUACUUGGCACCUGUUUGAUUUCAAGACCAUAAACUAAGAAAAGUGUGUUUUUCUAGGGUCCUAGGAUCAGGCAUUACCAGCUUACUCUGCCAAUAAAGGAUGAACACAAACAUAUCUUGUGCAACGAAGUGUGCUAUGAUGCUGGAAAUAGAUAAAACAUGAUUACCAUCAACUAGAAAAGGAAGAACUUGCACCAUAUUUUCAAUGGUCAAACUGAGUUGGUUGUAGCAUCUUAAACAGACCUUGGGUAUGUCCAGGUAUAUCCCUCAUCUUGUUUUUAGUUUGAUCUCUAUUUCCCCAAACCAACUAUUUGCAGGUUUCUCAUAAUAAGCCCUUCUUCUAGGAGCCAAAAGCUCUAAUUAUAUACACACCUUGAUAAUGUCUUCCAGUUUAUUGAACAAGCUGGGUGGGAGACAGGGGCGUAACUACUAUUAGGCAAGGGGGAGGCGGCUGCCUAAGGGCCCGCACGCCACAAGGGGCCCCCCAGAUGCAAGUCACAUGACUAUAUAUUGUGAAAAGUGUGUGUGUGUGUGUGUGUGUGUGUGUGUGUAUUGAGCCCCUGGUGGCGCAGUGGUAAAACUGCCGCCCUGUAACCAGAAGGUUACAAGUUCGAUCCUGACCAGGGGCUCAAGGUUGACUCAGCCUUCCAUCCUUCCGAGGUCGGUAAAAUGAGUACCCAGAAUGUUGGGGGCAAUAUGCUAAAUCAUUGUAAACCGCUUAGAGAGCUCCGGCUAUAGAGCGGUAUAUAAAUGUAAGUGCUAUUGCUAUGUGUAUCAGCGAGGGGCCCAUUUUAAAAUUUUGUCUCUGGGCCCACUCCAGCCUUGUUACGCCCCUGGUGGGAGAUGCUAAGAAAAGUAGUGGACAACAUAAAGGGGUAUUUCAUCCUAAAAGAUAAAAGGGGGCAAUGGAGGAUGAGUGAGAUAAUGGCUGGGGAAAAUGGGGAACACCUAUAGCAGUCAUGCAAGGCUUGCACUUGUAAUGCAGAGAGAAAAAGCACUGGCAUGCAAAGGCUGACAGAUCUAGUCUGCAGUAUGGAUAAUCCCAUCUUCAUGUGAAUAGUGGUACGAGGCAAAAUAAAGCACCCAAAGAGUUUGUUUGUCUAGGUGCAACUAUUGUUAGUGGCAAGAAGCUCCCUUUAGACCUUACAGAUACAAAGGAAGCCACAUUUACCUUCACUGAAAAGGGCUUGUGGAUUUUAACUUCCUGAGAAUUUAUGAUCCACUCCAUAGUGAUGAAAUGACCAUUAAUAGGACAGGAAAAGUCCUCUUAGACUAGUCUUGCCUCUGCAUCACAUUAGCAUGGUAUAGUGCUACAGUGAAGACUAGAACUGGGAUUUGGCAUUUCAAAGCCCUGUAAUGAGAUCCAGGUAUUUCGAGGCUCCAGUUUCCCUUUGAAAUACUAGGCAAAUUGUACUCCAAAAAUGGCAAGCAUGAUUUAAAAACUCAAAAGUGAUUAUAUUCUCAGGUCUUUUACUAAGGAAGAAAGUAUGAAUAGCCUGGUUCUUGCUCCCACAACAAGAUGUUGGCCUUCUGGCUUCUCCAAGGAUACACAAUUCCCACCUUUAGACUUUUUUCACAGUUUAAUUUUCAGGGCUUUCCAACAUUAUAAUCAUUUUGGAUCUAUAAACAAACAAGCAACAUUUGGCUCCAUUACAACUCUUUGAGUAAAAUCAGAACAGCCAUAGAAGGUUAGAACAAUGACAUUUAAUAUUCUUCCACCACUAAAGGAUUUUCACCUUUUUUCCUCUACCACAACAAUGUGUUAUUUUCAUAUACAUUAUAUUUCAUAAAAUGUACUGAUAUGGGAAAAAAGCAUGGGUUUAGUUCUAUUUACAUAUUUUAAUUCAAACAUCUUUAUAACAUUGAAAAAUAGAAACUUAAAUUUUUUUUUUAAAUUGUGUUUUCACCCAGUUCAGUGGUAAACAAUUGCAUGCCUGUAAGUUGAACUUCCUUUAAAACUUGGUCAAUUGAAAGUUUCUAACUAAACUGUGGUUCUCUGUUCAAAAAAUACAUAAGUAUGUCAUUUCUGAUACAAAAUUCUACACUAUCUUCAAUAAAUAAAUAAUAAAGUGAUUCUUAAAA